GCCAGGGUAGCUGGAAAGGGCUGAGCAUUCUUUUCUAAGCCUCCAUGUAAGAAGAGCUUUUUGCCUCCCGCCAUGAUUCUGAGGCCUCCCCAGCCAUGCGGAACUGAGCAUUAUCUUGCUUUAUAGGGCAAGUCCAGGAAGCAGUGUGUGACAAAGAAUGAGUACCCAGUGCUGGAGGGCAUGGAGCAAUCCAUCGGCAGCUCCCGGUGGUGAUGAGUGAGUGUCCUGCGGCAGAGGGUGGGGUGGCAUAGCAAGAACAGUUGAAGGCAGGAAGUGGGAAAGCAUUCUGGUUACUGUCAUGCCAAGGGUCAGCGGCCAACAGUCCGGGAGAGUCUCCUUGCAUCUGUCUUCCUCUAACAAGGAUGGGUGUGUGUGGCCCAUAAAUCAACUGGACGCACUUCCCUUUGUUUGCACACUGCCACCGACACAGGCUUGCUAUGAAGAAGAAGAAAUUUUGCUCAGAGGAAACUAGAAAACCUGAACGUGUACACAAUGCUGACAUAUUUUGUUGCUUUCACCCCUCUUAAGAAUUUCUACCAUUCCUUUGAGAAGUUGAUUAUUUUUAAAACUGUGUAUCAUUUUGUCUUCUUGGGCAAAUUGCACAGUCAAUGAUAUGUUUCACCGAGUAUGUAAAUCCCUUUUACAUAUUUCAAAAUAAUAUCUAAUUAAAAUGUCAAGGUUAUAGCUCAUGAGGCUAGAGUGGACAGGGCUCCACCCCCUCCCUCAGCCUCUCAAAGUAACAUUUAAAGUAUGUCCUAUAAUUAGGAGCAAUUAUAAAUUCCAAUUAAAAAGAAACCUGCAUAACUCUGACAGUAUUUUUCUUUGAUGUUACUGGCUUUAAUUUAUGUGCUUGUUCCACCAAAUUGUCUUCACUUCCUCAGAUAUGUUCUCAGACAGAAAAGGCUUCCAAAACUGCAAAGAGAAAAACAGGUCAAAUCUGAGAAAAGUAGUGAAGUUCAUUAAAAAGGGUUAUUGCAUCUAUAACUUCUGGACUUGGUGCUCAUUGAUUAGAGAUUAAACAUCAUCCUUUGUACUACUCAGAUUGGGAUUUUUAAUUAGGAUGUCAUUAUUACACAGAUAUACUGAAUGCCAUAUUGAUUUUUGAGACCUUUUGAAAUAAUAGCACUGCUUAUGCAAAAUGAAAAUCAUAAUAGAUUAUUGACUUCUUCAGGAGUUUUGAUCCAAGGGUACCUCCC
rnacentral:lncRNA from 10 species